rnacentral:rRNA from 1 species
UACGGGGGGGGCAAGCGUUGUUCGGAAUUACUGGGCGUAAAGCGUGCGUAGACGGUUAUGUAAGUCGGGUGUGAAAGCCCCGGGCUCAACCUGGGAAUGCCAUUCGAGACUGCAUAGCUAGGGUGCGGAAGAGGGAAGCGGAAUUUCCGGUGUAGCGGUGAAAUGCGUAGAUAUCGGAAGGAACACCAGUGGCGAAAGCGGCUUCCUGGUCCAGCACCGACGUUCAGGCACGAAAGCGUGGGGAGCAAACAGG